rnacentral:rRNA from 1 species
CCUACGGGCGGCUGCAGUAGGGAAUAUUGGACAAUGGCUGAAAAGCUGAUCCAGCCAUCCCGCGUGAAGGUAGAAGGUCCUAUGGAUUGUAAACUUCUUUUCUCUGGGAAGAAAAAGCUUGAUUCAUCAAGCCCUGACGGUACCAGAGGAAUAAGCACCGGCUAACUCCGUGCCAGCAGCCGCGGUAAUACGGAGGGUGCAAGCGUUAUCCGGAUUCACUGGGUUUAAAGGGUGCGUAGGCGGGCUUGUAAGUCAGUGGUGAAAGCCCGGAGCUUAACUCCGGAACUGCCAUUGAUACUGCAGGUCUUGAGUACACUUGAGGUGGGCGGAAUACAUCAUGUAGUGGUGAAAUACUUAGAUAUGAUGUAGAACACCGAUUGCGAAGGCAGCUCACUAAAUUGUAACUGACGCUGAGGCACGAAAGCGUGGGGAUCAAACAGGAUUAGAUACCCUUGUAGUC